GGCGUCUUUGUCCACUGGGUGCUGCCGAAUUCUUUGGGCUGUAACAGAGGAAAUAUGUUCAUGGUUGGAGGCCAAUUGCUGUUUUUCAGCUAAUAUGCUCAGUGAAAAUGAGUGAGCAACUCACAAACAGGGUCAAGACAAAGAGAACUGUCACCCACACCUGCCUCUUUUUUGAACAGCAUGCUUACCUUAAUUUCAAGCGCGAUAGCACCACUCUGUAUAGGUAACUUGCAGGAAUGAAAACAAAGAGAAUGAUCCUGGACUUUGAAGAAACAGCUGGACUUCCUUGUAAACAGCCCAGCUCUGCUUGUUGGUGUGGCAAUUCUGUGAUUCAUUUGAUUUUACUCUUUAGUAUUUUGACUAUCAACUCUGAUUUCUAAACAAAGGAACUGAAAAACUGUAACAAAAUGGAAGCAACUCUUAAGACUAAGGAAUGAAACAUAACCUAAACUUAUUUUUAGAACUAUAUACUAAUCCUUAAAAAAUUUAAAGAAAAUUAUUUACUGCAGGAAGUGGAAAUGUCUUAGCGUGAUACAAAAGAAUCUUCAUAGUCUGGCCUCUGCCUCUUGAUUCAGCCUCCACUCGUAUUAGUCUUUCUCUUACAUGUCUUGCUUUGGGAUGCUGGAAGGACUUGGAAUUUCUGAACCUGCCACUCUGUUUCAUGCCACCAGACCUUCAUUUCCUUCCCUGUUCUCCCAGCCUGAGUUAAUUAUUCCUUCCUCUGAGCUGCAUGUCCUUCUACUAGUGCCCUUAUCAGAUUGUAUGAUAGUUAUUUGUUUAUGUGUCUUGGUUGUUAGAGAAUUUCUUAAGGUAAGGAACCUAUUGUAUUCAUGCCUUUCUGUGUCUAGCAUGUUCCUUAGGUCACUAUGUUAAAAUACAAAAAUUAACCAGGCAUGGUGGU